rnacentral:rRNA from 1 species
UACGUAGGGGUGCGAGCGUUAAUCGGAAUUACUGGGCGUAAAGCGUGCGCAGGCGGUUUUGUAAGCCAGAUGUGAAAUCCCCGGCUUAACCUGGGAAUGGCAUUUGGGACUGCAAGGCUGGAGUUUGGCAGAGGAGACUGGAAUUCCUGGUGUAGCAGUGAAAUGCGUAGAUAUCAGGAGGAAUACCGAUGGCGAAGGCAGGUCUCUGGGCUAUAACUGACGCUCAUGCACGAAA